rnacentral:lncRNA from 10 species
AAUGCAAGUGUUUAACAGAUGCUUCACUAUUAAAAUAUUUUCCCCCCAAGUCUCAAAUAUUGAAGAAUCUCUAACCAGGUACAGUAUCACUCUGCUCUCUUUUCUGGUUGAAAAGAAAGAAAGAAAGAAAACGCAGGUAUUGCUUUUCGAAGUGCUUUGUAGGUAAUCGAGGCUCGAAACGCCGGUCUCAGUGGCUAUUGAGUUACCCACCAAGUUACCCCGGUUAGAGCUGUUUGGGGUGGCUCACGUUAUUGCGGCAAACUUUGGAGAUGACGGCUGAGUCCUCCGGGCGAACAUGUCAAGCCGAUUGUAAAUGCUGUUAUUUCCACAUCCUUCAGGGACACCAGUCCCUACGAAGACCUUGGGCGAUUUUGAAGUGCGGGCACCUCGAUUCCCCGAAUCUGUAGUGUGGCUGGUAUCGGUGUUCCCCUGGUUUAACUAGCCUGUUUGGCACAACAAAUGAGACCCAAGUGCUCAUAGAACAUUCCAAAGAGUCAACAGAGAGAAGUGGAAAGUAUUAGAAACAUGAUUGUGUUUGCAAAGGGAGACAUAAACAUGGGGAAAUUGAGGCAGAGAAGCCAAGACAUGUGCUAAAGGUCAUGCAGGCUAUGAAUGGAGCUGGAAUGUGAACGCAGGCCAUAUGACCCCAGAGCCCAUGUUCUUGAACCCUUAGAAAGACAGCAGCAACACACCUGGUGCAGCAGCUGCUUAGUUGGAGUGGCUGACAAGGUUGGCAGAGGAUCCCGUUCCUCCCGUGGAGUGGCUGCCAUGAUACUGCCUGCACUGAAGCUGCUCCUAUUUCUGAAAUAUGUAUUGUUAUUUUUUUCCCUGCAUGUUGAACAUUAUACUCUUCUGUUCUUUCGCAUUCUCUUCUUCCCUUCCGGAUGACUUCUAGGGUUUUUGUGAUUCUGUAAUUCUAAAGGAGAAAGGAUAAUAAGAAUUGUGAGGCCGGGCGCGGUGGCUCAUGCCUGUAAUCACAGCACUUUGGGAGGCCAAGGUGGGCGGAUCACUAGGUGAGGAGAUGGAGACCAUCCUGGCUAACACGGUGAAACCCCGUCUCUACUAAAAAUACAAAAAAUUAGCGGGGUGUGGUGGCGGGCGCCUGUAGUCCCAGCAACUCGGGAGGCUGAGGCAGGAGAAUGGCG